rnacentral:rRNA from 1 species
UACGGAGGGUGCAAACGUUGCUCGGAAUCAUUGGGCGUAAAGCGCACGUAGGCGGCCUGUUAAGUCGGAUGGUGAAAGCCCCGGGCUCAAACCCGGGAAGUGCAUACCGAAACUGGCGGGCUUGAAUAUGGAAAGAGGGUCGCGGAAUUCCCGGUGUAGAGGUGAAAAUUCGUCAGAUAUCGGGAGGAACACCAGUGGCGAAGGCGGGCGACCUGGGCCAAUAUUGACGCUGGAGGUGCGAAAGCGUGGGGAGCAAACAGGAGUUAAGAAACCCGUUGGAGAACCAGUUCGAAG